CGGUGUAGCGGUGAAAUGCGUAGAUAUCGGGAAGAACACCAGUGGCGAAGGCGCUCUGCUGGGCCAUCACUGACGCUCAUGGACGAAAGCCAGGGGAGCGAAAGGGAUUAGAUACCCCUGUAGUCCUGGCCGUAAACGAUGAACACUAGGUGUCGGGGGAAUCGACCCCCUCGGUGUCGUAGCCAACGCGUUAAGUGUUCCGCCUGGGGAGUACGCACGCAAGUGUGAAACUCAAAGGAAUUGACGGGGGCCCGCACAAGCGGUGGAGUAUGUGGUUUAAUUCGAUGCAACGCGAAGAACCUUACCAGGGUUUGACAUCCUGCGAAUCUCUUGGAAACAGGAGAGUGCCUUCGGGAACGCAGUGACAGGUGGUGCAUGGCUGUCGUCAGCUCGUGUCGUGAGAUGUUGGGUUAAGUCCCGCAACGAGCGCAACCCACGUCUUUAGUUGCCAGCAUUUAGUUGGGCACUCUAGAGAGACUGCCGGUGAUAAACCGGAGGAAGGUGUGGAUGACGUCAAGUCAUCAUGCCCCUUACAUCCUGGGCUACACACGUACUACAAUGCUACGGACAAAGGGCAGCAAGUUCGCGAGGACAAGCAAAUCCCAUAAACCGUGGCUCAGUUCAGAUCGUAGGCUGCAACUCGCCUACGUGAAGGCGGAAUCGCUAGUAAUCGCAGGUCAGCAUACUGCGGUGAAUACGUUCCCGGGCCUUGUACACACCGCCCGUCACACCAUGGAAGUUGGCCACGCCCGAAGCCGUUAC
rnacentral:rRNA from 1 species